UUUGCAGCUUUUGUAAUGACGUCACGGGCGCAGCCGCAGUUUGACAGACGGCAAUGCAGAAGCAUAUCGAUUUUUAACGUCGUCUACAGUUUUAGUGUCCGUCUAUUAGUGUAGUAGUGUUGUUUCAUGCUAAAUUCAGUGAAUGGGAUUUUUUAUUGAAGUAGCGGUGUAAAUUACCUGGUUAUAAGAUGACCAAGGACAGGCUUCAAGCUUUAAAAGCUGCGCAGAGUGAUGAUGAUGACGUCGGUCCUGAUGACGUUGCGGUCAACGUGGAAGGCCGCGACGGCUUCAUGGACGAGUUCUUUGCGGAGGUGGAGGAGAUACGGGAAAUGAUAGACAAGAUACAGGCCAAUGUGGAGGAAGUCAAGAAAAAACACAGUGCCAUCCUGUCCGCCCCACAGACUGAUGAAA